AAAGGAAAACUUGGUAGCCACUUUUACUCGUGAUUUUGGUCGAUUUGGAGUUGGAUUUCGAAGAUGAUGAAGUUGAAGAAAAGAUAGAUUAAGGCAUAAUUUUAGCACUUGAAGGAGUCAUUUGGAGUCAUUUAGAGCUUGAGGAGUAGGAUUUGCAUUGCGAAAGUGAACUACGAAGUUGAAGAUCAAGAUAAAAUAAUUCAUCUUAGUAGCAAACAAGGAGGAGAUGACGUGAUUGAAGAAAUUGUGUUUCUAUCUUCGCUGUCCCUUUUGAGGUUGACUCAGUUCAUAUAGUACUGGCGACGGAAAUUUAUUCGAACUAUUUGGACUCUUAAUUGCAUUCGCAAGCACAUC